rnacentral:rRNA from 1 species
ACGAAAGGACCAGAGAUAUAAGGCCCACUUCCAAAUAAGACGCCUUAAUAAUUAAUAGAGUGACAUAAUCUUAAUCCUAUAAAUAUAUAACCAUUCUUAACCCAAGAACAGGGCCU